GAUUAUAAAAUUUAUUUGGGGGGGUUAUGUCAUCAAUAUAAACAUAAACUGUUUUUCCAAUAUUGAUAUCACUUAAACCAACCAAUCAAUAUAUCCUCUCUACCCCCAGGUCUCCUUGAAACCACCAAGUCAAAAGUAGUCAAAGUAGCACAAUAUGAUUUAUAUGGAAACUGGACCUGUACUAUCAAGUUAACAGUUACUAGAGAGUCUAUACCCAAAAAUUUCACUCUCUUUAAAAAAAAAUCUUGGUAUCUAUUAGGCAAAUAAUGAGAUGAGGGAUGACCAGAAGAGUCUCAAACCCAAAAAGAAAUGGUAGUGUCAAAAGAUAGACUAUCAUGAUGAGUCAGGAGAAAUAUUUACACCGCCUCACCAUUCUACCCAUACAAAGAAUACAGAGUCUUACACCACUCUAUAAAUAAUAAUUUUAAAAACUACAAAUCUACAGGGGGAUAAAAUGUAUAGUUGUUAAUCUUAAUUUAAGGCCCUAAAGUUUAGCCAGUUGUCAAUGGAGAUAUGAUCAUUCCAGUUCAUUAAAAUAAUGAGCUAAACCAUCAUGGUACAUCAUUCUUGGGUUCCUGUAAUGUCUAUAUGAUAGACAUUUUUAUAAAUAUUUCUUUAUUUCUAUGAAAGAUCAGAAAAGUACCAUGUUAUUAAGUUGAACCAUAGUGGUACUUCACUCUUGGACUGUGGUCCUUUAUUUCUUUGAGAAAUCAGAAAAGUACCAUGUUAUUAAAUUAUACAGUACCAAGUACCAUGUUAUUAAUAAAUCAGAAAGGAUUUUGCCUUUUGGAGAUAAAGUUCAGCUGAUUUGCUGCUGACAUGAUUCUUUGGAAAACUGGUGAAAACUACCUUUAAGAAGCCAGUGUUUUAAUCAUAUUUCAAGGUAUCAGACCUAAGAAGCUCCCUGAAAAAACACAAAUGACAACACACUGUUAUCUUAGUACAUUUAUCACAUAGAAAAAGCUAACAAGUAUUUUAUUAUUUUAUUCUACAAUAUAUACAGGUCAUAAAAGGCCACAGCAGUUUUUCAACAUAUAAACCCUUUAAAAGUAGAGGGCACUAUGAAGGAUAGACAAGUAUCAAAAUGAAGUCCCGUAAUGAGGGCAUAUACUCAGUGCAGUAUUUCUGAGGAAUAACAAAGCAGAUACCAAGUCAUCCAUAUUUGGCUUGCAAUUAUUCCAUAGGUUUUAUAAAAGUUUUUGAGAUUUGUUAACUGUUUAGGUGAGCCAAGUUGCCAUUUACUACAAAAAUUGAAACCAGAAUGAAAGAACAAUGAAUUUAGAGGGCAUGCUUCCUAAUUUUAGUGAUUUAUAGGUCUCCAGGAAAGAAAGCCUCAAUUCUUUACCACCUUCCACUUCUUCCUGCCAUCAAAGAUAGGAAAGAGAGAAAUGGAAGAAAAAACUUAUUAUUCCCAAUUCUUCCUGCUUAGCUGAAGUUUUCAUUUUCAUUAGGGGUUUCUUCAAAGUAUACAUCAGGCCUUUUAAGAAUUAGCUUUGAAUUCCUAAACACAUAAUAUUACAUCCUCCUUGAAUGAUAACUCAAAAACAUUGGUUUCUACUCUGUGAAAAUACAAUCUUUAAACCUAUAACUGGUAUCAGCAGAUCAAUGUAAAAAAAUACAGUACCAAGCUACACUGGUAUAUUUCCAUAUUAAGAACUUCAAAAUAUACUUAUCACUGAGACCGUAGUCCUUGCAUUAGUUUUCAGUCCACUAUGAACAAUUAUCUGCUGCAUGUAAACAUGUCUAAAUAACUAUAGAUAAAAUACAUCAAUCAUAAAUUUCUGUAAAAGAUAAUAAAAUAUCUUCUUUAAAAAACAAAACAAUAAUAAGGUAUUACUGCAUUGUUUCCAAUUUUAUGAAAAUGGAACAACCAUAGGUUGUUGCCAGUCCUGAGUUCAUUGUAAUAAAAAUGGCCCUAGUUCCUGGUUAAAAUCAGCAACCAAUCCAUUCUCUUCAUUUGAUGUCUUCUAGUACUGCAGGCAAGAAUUUGUUUUAGGUGUUAUUCUGUCCAUUAAUAAAAUUAUAUACCAGAAACUGA